UAGUCUAGUGGUUAAGACACCAGCCUAGAAAGCAGGAGACUGUGAGUUCAAAUCCCAC
rnacentral:tRNA from 1 species